GGAUUCUGUGCCAAAAGAGGGGUUAAAGGAACGAAUUCUGAUUCCCGUGGACCGACAAGGAGCAGCUGGGAAACGGAGCGCCACAAGCCCACAACUCUCGCGCAGGCUUCUCUCCCAUCUCCGCCCUUCCCGAAGCAGCACGGUGCAGGCCGCGGACCCGCGGUUUCUCCACAGAAUCCCGCUCCACGCACGUCGCCCCCGUCGCCGGCGAGGCGGCUGUGCUGCUGCGUACUCCCCUGGUUCCAACUCUGAACCGGCCACCCUCUCCUGCUCCGCGACCUCGAGUAACUUUUUGAGUACCAGUGAUGCAAAGGGACACAAGCUCUAGCGAUGUUUCUGCUUCUCAUGUAGGACGUGUAAGACGUCGCAAACAUCCAACUGAGGCUACCACAGAUGGGAAUAGAGCUAAUGGACAGCCAUUGCUUGUCAAUGAUCAGAACAAAUAUAAAUCAAUGCUUACCCGUACGUAUUCUACAGUAUGGAUGAUUGGAGGCUUUGCCUUUAUUAUUUAUAUGGGUCAUCUAUAUAUCUGGGCUAUGGUGGUUGUGAUUCAAAUAUACAUGGCAAGAGAACUUUUCAAUUUACUCAGAAAAUCCAGUGAAGAGAAACAACUGCCAGGGUUCAGGGUCCUGAAUUGGCACUUCUUUUUCACGGCAAUGCUGUACACUUAUGGGCGCUUUCUUAGUCGUCAGCUGGUGAAUACAGUGACUUCAGAUCACUUGCUUUAUAAGGUCGUCAGUGGCCUAAUUAAGUAUCAGAUGUUUAUCUGCUAUUUCCUUUAUAUUGCAGGGUUUGUAUGGUUUAUUUUGACUCUCAAGAAAAAGACAUACAAGUAUCAGUUCAAACAGUAUGCCUGGACACACAUGAUACUUUUAACAGUUUUUGCACAGUCUGCUUUCACUGUGGCAAACAUAUUUGAAGGGAUAUUCUGGUUUCUUUUGCCUGCUUCACUUAUUGUGAUCAACGAUAUUUUUGCUUAUUUAUUUGGGUUCUUUCUUGGGAGAACACCAUUAAUCAAGUUGUCUCCAAAGAAAACUUGGGAAGGUUUUAUUGGUGCAUCAGUGACAACUAUCAUCUCUGCGUUUCUGUUAGCAAAUGUAAUGGGCCAUUCGCAAUGGUUGACAUGCCCAAGAAAGGAUCUGUUGACUGGGUGGCUUUAUUGUGAUCCUGGUCCAAUGUUUAAGCCAGAGCAUUACUCAUUGGGAGAGUGGGUGCCGCAUUGGAUAACAGCAAGGGAAAGCAGCCAACUCACAAGGCAGUAUAUUCUGCAGCACAACAAGGUCUUGAUCUACACACUGCUCUUCUGGACAUUCGUACGUAAUCCCGAAGCCUCUCCAAAAAGCUGAAGAAUAUCCAAAAUAAUAUUGAUAUCCAUGGCUGCCGCUCGAAGGAAGAUCACAUCAUCAGCAUAGAGUUGAGACCUGGUGCUGCAGUGCACGUGGAGCAAGGGGCUGCAGCAGUCCAUCCUGUUCGGCCUUAUUAAUCAAGAAGCCCAAAGUAUCCAAUUAUCGAUGACCAAGAUGAACAGAAAAGGAGACAAAGGAUCUCUCUGUCGGAGGCCACGACGAUGAAGAAUAGACUGUCAUAGGCAAACUGAUGUGUUCCCAUGGAAAGAACUAGCUAUUAUGCCUGUGCAGUGGCAUGCUUUAGCCCUAGGUUUAUUUGCAUCAAUAAUAGCACCAUUUGGAGGAUUUUUUGCGAGUGGCUUCAAGAGGGCUUUUAAAAUUAAGGAUUUUGGUGACAGCAUACCUGGGCAUGGUGGAAUUACUGACAGAAUGGAUUGUCAAAUGGUUAUGGCAGUGUUUGCAUACAUAUACCACCAAUCAUUCAUUGCACCUCAGAACUUCUCUGUUGAGAUAAUCUUGGAUCAGAUUAUAAGAAACCUAACCUAUGAGGAGCAAAAAUAUGUAUAUGAACAACUUGGGGAAAUGUUCCGUGAGAGGCAAUUGGCUCAUUGGCUGAAAGCUGAGAGUUAGCGUGCUUAUGAAAUGCAUGAUAUGUUGUGCAUUUAGUUCAUGUAUGGCAGCAUGCCAGCAUGUUAUGAAUGUAUACGGAGCCCUUGCCCAAACCAUUGUAUAGAAUGGUAGAAUGGAGAGAAUGAAUGGGUUGUAGGUGCUUUAUUCACUCUCUAGUCUCCACUGACGCUGCCUAUAAUUCACUCCCCCUGUCAUCGUUUCUGCAGUCUGUGUAAAAGGGAACCUGGAAAGUUUUAUUCUUUCCACUUCGUGGUGCUGGGCUCAGAUCAAAUAUUCGAGGAUUCACAAUAUAUCCCCGAUGUUUUACCA